rnacentral:rRNA from 1 species
GGUUAAGCGACUAAGCGUACACGGUGGAUGCCCUGGCAGUCAGAGGCGAUGAAGGACGUGCUAAUCUGCGAUAAGCGUCGGUAAGGUGAUAUGAACCGUUAUAACCGGCGAUUUCCGAAUGGGGAAACCCAGUGUGAUUCGUCACACUAUCAUUAACUGAAUCCAUAGGUUAAUGAGGCGAACCGGGGGAACUGAAACAUCUAAGUACCCCGAGGAAAAGAAAUCAACCGAGAUUCCCCCAGUAGCGGCGAGCGAACGGGGAGCAGCCCAGAGCCUGAAUCAGUGUGUGUGUUAGUGGAAGCGUCUGGAAAGGCGCGCGAUACAGGGUGACAGCCCCGUACACAAAAAUGCACAUACUGUGAGCUCGAUGAGUAGGGCGGGACACGUGGUAUCCUGUCUGAAUAUGGGGGGACCAUCCUCCAAGGCUAAAUACUCCUGACUGACCGAUAGUGAACCAGUACCGUGAGGGAAAGGCGAAAAGAACCCCGGCGAGGGGAGUGAAAAAGAACCUGAAACCGUGUACGUACAAGCAGUGGGAGCACAGAGCAAUCUGUGUGACUGCGUACCUUUUGUAUAAUGGGUCAGCGACUUAUAUUCUGUAGCAAGGUUAACCGAAUAGGGGAGCCGAAGGGAAACCGAGUCUUAACUGGGCGUUAAGUUGCAGGGUAUAGACCCGAAACCCGGUGAUCUAGCCAUGGGCAGGUUGAAGGUUGGGUAACACUAACUGGAGGACCGAACCGACUAAUGUUGAAAAAUUAGCGGAUGACUUGUGGCUGGGGGUGAAAGGCCAAUCAAACCGGGAGAUAGCUGGUUCUCCCCGAAAGCUAUUUAGGUAGCGCCUCGUGAAUUCAUCUCCGGGGGUAGAGCACUGUUUCGGCAAGGGGGUCAUCCCGACUUACCAACCCGAUGCAAACUGCGAAUACCGGAGAAUGUUAUCACGGGAGACACACGGCGGGUGCUAACGUCCGUCGUGAAGAGGGAAACAACCCAGACCGCCAGCUAAGGUCCCAAAGUCAUGGUUAAGUGGGAAACGAUGUGGGAAGGCCCAGACAGCCAGGAUGUUGGCUUAGAAGCAGCCAUCAUUUAAAGAAAGCGUAAUAGCUCACUGGUCGAGUCGGCCUGCGCGGAAGAUGUAACGGGGCUAAACCAUGCACCGAAGCUGCGGCAGCGACGCU